rnacentral:rRNA from 1 species
UACGGAGGAUCCGAGCGUUAUCCGGAAUCAUUGGGUUUAAAGGGUCCGUAGGCGGGCCAUUAAGUCAGGGGUGAAAGUCUGCGGCUCAACCGUAGAAUUGCCCUUGAUACUGGUGGUCUUGAGUUAUGGUGAAGUAACUAGAAUAUGUGGUGUAGCGGUGAAAUGCAUAGAUAUCACAUAGAAUACCGAUUGCGAAGGCAGGUUACUAACCAUAUACUGACGCUGAUGGACGAAAGCGUGGGGAGCGAACAGG